rnacentral:rRNA from 1 species
GACGAGAAGCUUGCUUCUCUGAUGUUAGCGGCGGACGGGUGAGUAACACGUGGAUAACCUACCUAUAAGACUGGGAUAACUUCGGGAAACCGGAGCUAAUACCGGAUAAUAUUUUGAACCGCAUGGUUCAAAAGUGAAAGGCGGUCUUGCUGUCACUUAUAGAUGGAUCCGCGCUGCAUUAGCUAGUUGGUAAGGUAACGGCUUACCAAGGCAACGAUGCAUAGCCGACCUGAGAGGGUGAUCGGCCACACUGGAACUGAGACACGGUCCAGACUCCUACG